rnacentral:rRNA from 1 species
AUUGAACGCUGGCGGCAUGCUUUACACAUGCAAGUCGAACGGCAGCGCGGGCUUCGGCCUGGCGGCGAGUGGAGAACGGGUGAGUAAUGCAUCGGAACGUGCCCAGUAGUGGGGGAUAGCCCGGCGAAAGCUGGAUUAAUACCGCAUACGACCUGAGGGUGAAAGCGGGGGACCGAAAGGCCUCGCGCUAUUGGAGCGGCCGAUGUCGGAUUAGCUAGUUGGUGGGGUAAAGGCUUACCAAGGCGACGAUCCGUAGCUGGUCUGAGAGGACGACCAGCCACACUGGGACUGAGACACGGCCCAGACUCCUACGGGAGGCAGCGGUGGGGAAUUUUGGACAAUGGGGGCAACCCUGAUCCAGCCAUGCCGCGUGCUGGAAGAAGGCCUUCGGGUUGUAAACCGCUUUUGUUCGGAAAGAAAUCCUCUGGGCUAAUACCCCGGGGGGAUGACGGUACCGGAAGAAUAAGCACCGGCUAACUACGUG